rnacentral:rRNA from 1 species
AAUCUUCCGCAAUGGACGCAAGUCUGACGGAGCAACGCCGCGUGCGUGAUGAAGGUUUUCGGAUCGUAAAACACUGUUGUUAUGGAAGAGCAAGUACAGUUCGAAUAGGUCGGUACCUUGGCUGUCCCUAACCAGAAAGCCACGGAUAACUACGUGCCAGCAGCCGCGGUAAUACGGAGGUGGAAAGCUUUAUCCGGAAGUAUUGGUCGUAAAGAGCGCGCAGGAGGUUUCUUGAGUCUGAUGUGAAAGCCCACGGCUCAACCGUGGAGGGUCAUUGGAAACUGGGGAACUUGAGUGCAGAAGAGGAGAGUGGAAUUCCAUGUGUAGCGGUGAAAUGCGUAGAGAUAUGGAGGAACACCAGUGGCGAAGGCGACUCUCUGGUCUGCAACUGACGCUGAGGCGCGAAAGCGUGGGGAGCAAACA